UACGAAGGGGGCUAGCGUUGUUCGGAAUUACUGGGCGUAAAGCGCGCGCAGGCGGUUCUUCAAGUCAGAGGUGAAAGCCCAGAGCUCAACUCUGGAAUGGCCUUUGAGACUAGAGAACUUGGGUACGGGAGAGGUGAGUGGAAUUCCGAGUGUAGAGGUGAAAUUCGUAGAUAUUCGGAAGAACACCAGUGGCGAAGGCGGCUCGCUGGGCCGGCCCUGACGCUGAGGCGCGAAAGCGUGGGGAGCGAACAGG
rnacentral:rRNA from 1 species